UACGAAGGCAGCAGUGGGGAAUAUUGCACAAUGGGCGCAAGCCUGAUGCAGCCAUGCCGCGUGUAUGAAGAAGGCCUUCGGGUUGUAAAGUACUUUCAGUCGUGAGGAAGGUGUUAAGGUUAAUAACCUUAGCAAUUGACGUUAGCGACAGAAGAAGCACCGGCUAACUCCGUGCCAGCAGCCGCGGUAAUACGGAGGGUGCGAGCGUUAAUCGGAAUUACUGGGCGUAAAGGGCACGCAGGCGGUUAAUUAAGUUGGAUGUGAAAUCCCCGGGCUUAACCUGGGAAUGGCAUUCAAGACUGGUUAGCUAGAGUCUUGUAGAGGGGGUAGAAUUCCAUGUGUAGCGGUGAAAUGCGUAGAGAUGUGGAGGAAUACCGGUGGCGAAGGCGGCCCCUGGGACAAAGGACUGACGCUCAUGUGCGAAAGCGUGGGGAGCAAACAGGGAUUAGAUACC
rnacentral:rRNA from 1 species